rnacentral:siRNA from 1 species
GAACUCACAAUCACCGAUGAAUCU